AACUAGUUAUGAGUUGAUGCCACUCUUCUGAUGAGGUCAUGAUAGGCCGAAACCAGCU
rnacentral:hammerhead_ribozyme from 15 species